rnacentral:tRNA from 1 species
CUUUGGGUGGCAUAGUGGUUUGAGUGUUGGCUUACAACUCUGGAGACCAGGGUUCAAUUCCCAACUCAGCCA